rnacentral:rRNA from 1 species
CUCAUUAAAUCAGUUAUAGUUUAUUUGAUGGUCUCUUUUGUCUUUUUUUACCUACUUGGAUAACCGUGGUAAUUCUAGAGCUAAUACAUGCGCAAGGUCCCGAGCGCGGGGGGCAGGGCUUCACGGCCCUGUCCUCGCAUGCGCAGAGGGAUGUAUUUAUUAGGUUAAACAACCAGCAUUUUCAUCAUCUGGUGAUUCAUAGUAACUCUUUCGGAUCGCAUUCAUG